rnacentral:rRNA from 1 species
CUUGCUUCUUUGCUGACGAGUGGCGGACGGGUGAGUAAUGUCUGGGAAACUGCCUGAUGGAGGGGGAUAACUAUUGGAAACGGUAGCUAAUACCGCAUAACGUCGCAAGACCAAAGAGGGGGACCUUCGGGCCUCUUGCCAUCGGAUGUGCCCAGAUGGGAUUAGCUAGUAGGUGGGGUAACGGCUCACCUAGGCGACGAUCCCUAGCUGGUCUGAGAGGAUGACCAGCCACACUGGAACUGAGACACGGUCCAGACUCCUACGGGAGGCAGCAGUGGGGAAUAUUGCACAAUGGGCGCAAGCCUGAUGCAGCCAUGCCGCGUGUAUGAAGAAGGCCUUCGGGUUGUAAAGUACUUUCAGCGGGGAGGAAGGGAGUAAAGUUAAUACCUUUGCUCAUUGACGUUACCCGCAGAAGAAGCACCGGCUAACUCCGUGCCAGCAGCCGCGGUAAUACGGAGGGUGCAAGCGUUAAUCGGAAUUACUGGGCGUAAAGCGCACGCAGGCGGUUUGUUAAGUCAGAUGUGAAAUCCCCGGGCUCAACCUGGGAACUGCAUCUGAUACUGGCAAGCUUGAGUCUCGUAGAGGGGGGUAGAAUUCCAGGUGUAGCGGUGAAAUGCGUAGAGAUCUGGAGGAAUACCGGUGGCGAAGGCGGCCCCCUGGACGAAGACUGACGCUCAGGUGCGAAAGCGUGGGGAGCAAACAGGA